rnacentral:lncRNA from 1 species
AUGUUGUUCUGUUCUUCUGUGCUCAGCCAGGGCCCUCGCUGCCCCUGUGGGAGAGUUUCCUGUUUGCCUUUAUGGUUGAGCCAGCCUAUGCCCCAAUCACUGUGGACAGAAGGGACCCUCCAGGAGGCCUCUGCAAGACUCUUGUUGGAGAUGCCUUACUACGAACUCACGAGCAAGUCUGAGAAGCUGCCUUCACUCCUCACCUUGCCUUCCCCAUUUUUGCAUUUUUCAGUUUAUAUCACCAGACUGAGUAUUGGUUCCACCACCAGGCAAUGAAAUAGCCUCCUCCCUGAUUCCCAUCUAUCUUCUCAGUACACGCUGAUCUGUGGUAGACAGAGUCUAUAUUAAGGGCGCUAAAUGUGAGGGCAGGCUUCAGGAAGGCUGGCUUCGAAGCGGGCCAAGAGUUCCUUGUUAGGCAGCCAAACCACAGGCGACAAUGUUUGAAGUUGUACCAAGUGUCUGGUCAAAGCAGAGAUGGUAAAAUUAAAAAAAAAAAAAACCUGCCUUAGAAAUUGGGAAUUGGAAAAAGAUAGAAUUUAUUCCAUGCUGAACAGCACAUAGAGGAGACAAAGCUGGUCUGAAGGAAGGAAAAGUGUCUGGGAGGUGACAGCCCAGCUAGUAGGAAACAGCUCCAGAGAGAAAUGGCCAGGUGUGUGGUGGGGGGGAAGGGGAGUGGGUGGGGGUGGUGGAGGUGGAAGAAAGCUGGGCAGAGGUGCCCUAGAGGAUUAGGGAGAGGAAGACACUGGAUUCACAUGGCUGCAAAGAGGACUCGCAAGCUGGAACACAGAGAGUUGGCCUGGAGUGUACCACGAGAGAAGACUUGUUCGACAAAGGCCCGUACCAGGCAAUAAGGCGUAGUGGAUAAGACCAUGGGGUUCUUGAGACAAACUGAAUUUAAGUCUCAUCUCAGCAAUUAAUUAGCUGAUGAAGUUAGGCAAAUUGUUUAUUCUGUGCCUCAGUUUUCUCCUUUUUGAAAUGAGCUGAUAAUUGUGUCUACCUCUUGGGUUGUUGUAAGGAUUAAUUGAGAUAGUGUGUCUGAAAGGGCCUAGCAGAGGACCUGACACAGUACUCGAUCAAUAAAUGUCGACUGGUGGCAGUAGUCAAGUGGUAUCUCAAGUGGUGUCUCAAUGAGCUGUUGGUCUGAAAGAGGGUAGGGGUGUCCUGAACAAAUAGCCAAGCCAUGAUUUCCCUCUUCAUAGACAGUGUCCUGGAAUUCCUUACAGGGUGGGAAAGGAAUUUCUACUCAAAACAGUUGGCUGAUUGGUGUGAUAAUGAACCUGGGGUGGCCGCCUGAAAGGGGGUCAAAUUUAGAGUCUGGAGUGAAGAGUCACCUUUAACUCCCUGGGAGCAUCUGCAGGGAGAAGUGAAAACCAACUCUUUCUGGAUGCUUCCCCCAUGGUGAGUUUUGCAUUUGGAGAACAGGAAGUUGGAGAUGCAGCAUGGCGUGGAGAUGAAGUGAACGUGCUGGAACUGUAGUUAUUGGUCGGAAGUGUCCAGUAGAAUCGCCUUGAGGCUUGCCAGGACACAGAUGGCUCCACCGGGCCCCCCAGAUGUCUGACUCAUUAGGUCUCUGAUGAGUUCCCAGGAGGUGCUGAUAUGGCUGGUCUAGGGACCAGACAGUGAGAACCACGGCUACAGAGUCAGACAGACUUGGUUUUAAAUUUUCAUCAUUAAGUAGUUUUAUGACCUUAGGCAAGUUAUACAGCCUCUCUGGUCUUCAGUUUUUUUUCAUCUGUAAAUAGGAAAAUAAUUGAAGACAAGUUAAAACAUAUAUAAAAAGUACCUAGUACUAAAAAAAUAGGAACUAUGAAUGAGUAGAGGUAGGAAUGGGAGACUUCAGGAUCUGGAAAAAAACUUAAUUCAAAAAGGCACUGGCCUGGAGCGGUGGAUCAUGCCUGUAAUCCCAGCACUUUGGGAGACUGAGGUGGGCGGAUCACUUGAGGUGAGGAGGUCGAGACCAGCCUGGCCAAUAUGGUGAAACCCCGUCUCUACUAAAAAUACAAAAAUUAGCUGGCCGUGGUGGUGGGUGCCUGUAAUCCCAGCUACUUGGGAGGCUGAGGCAUGAGAAUCACUUGAACCUGGGAGGCAGAGGUUGCAGUGAGUUGAGAUCGCACCACUGUACUCCAGCCUGGGCGACAGAGUGAGACUCUGUCUCAAAACAAAACAAAACAGAACAAAAGAGCACAGAGAGGCCAGGCAGAGAAGCCAAGCUGCCGCUUCCCGUUCUGCUCCCCUCUGCCCACAUCAUCAGUCACCAAGGUGGGCGGUGCUGGGAGUUUGUGUGGGGCAAAGGCACCCAAGGCAGCUUCCGAGAACCUGGCGUAAGGGAGGACUGGGCUAUUUUGAGCAACAUAGGUAUUUCUGGUUUGUUUUUUUAGCUUAGUAACUCAAGGCAAAAAUCACAUCCCAGAACGAUUUUAAAGGCAGAGGAAACCUCCACUGAGCUGUAGCCUCCUCCCACCAGGGGCUCUCAGGCCUGGAUUUGGACGCCCAGAAGAACACGGUGUAUCUGGGCCUCUGUGCUGGGCUCAGAAUAUUCUCCUGCAGCCCCAUCUGUGGAAAUGGAAUCAUGCUUCGAGGUUCUUUGCCUCAGUGAAGCUAGUGGCCCCUCACAGUCUGGUUUAAUUUUUAACUCAUCAUCUGUUUUUCCCCCCUCCUAAGGCUAUAAGCACUGCUAAAUUAUGAUCUAGAACAUAUCUUUAUAUGCAUUUUGUGAUAUUUGGCAAAGGACUGACUGGCUCAAUAAAUGGUAAACAAUAGAGGGAGAGAGCGAGGAAGGAAGGAAUAAAAGAUGGAAGAAAGGAAAAAGAAAGGGAGGAAAGGAGGAAGGGUGGGAGAGAAGGAAAGAGAAGAAUGGAAGGAAUAGAUAAAGAAGGGAUGGAGGCUGGGCGUGGUGGCUCAUGCCUGUAAUCCCAGCACUUUGGGAGGCCGAGGCAGGAGGAUCACUUAGGACCAGGAGUGCAAGACCAGCCUGGACAACAUGGCAAAACCCCAUCUCUACUAAAAAUACAAAGAUUAGUCAGGCAUGGUGGUGCACACUUGUAAUCCCAGCUACUUGGGAGGCUGAGGUGGGAGGAUCCCUUGAGCUCAGUUCAACACCAGCCUGGGUAACAAAGUGAGACCUUGUUUCUGUACAAAAUUUUAUUUUAAAAUUAGCUAGGUGUGGUUGAUAGUCCCAGCCACUCGUGAGGCUGAGGUUGGAGUAUUCUUUGAGCCUGGCAGGUCAAGGCUGCAGUGAGCCGUGAUGGUGCCAUUGUUUUCCAGCCCUGAUGACAGAGCAAGACCCUGUCUCAAAAAAAAAAAAAAAAAAAAAAAGAUGGAAGGAAAGAAGAAAGGAAGACAGGAAGGGUGGGAGGAGAAAGGAAGGAAGAACACGUUUCCUCAGCUUUGCUUUGGUAAGGCUUUCAUUCCUCACAUUUGGAAGAGCCGGCUAGAGGGCACGCUCCUGCUUCUGCAGAGGUUACCCCCCAGGGAACAAGCUCAAGGCCUGUGAGAUGGCAUAGGACACAGAGGAGCAUCCUAGUCGCCAGGCUUUGGAACAGGAGGAUGAAGGAGAAUCAGAGGGAGUUUGAGAGAGGUGGUUUGAGCUUUCUUGCUGUGUAACCUGUAACCUGCCUGAUCCCUUUCCCUACCCGAUGCCUGCUCCCAGAAGGAAGUGAUCUCUUUCUCCUCCGAAGCUGACAACCACUCCCUUUCUAUGGACAUGGUGUAAGGGCGGGUUGUGGGUGCUCUUGGGUGGCCCAUGUGGGCAGAGCAACCGACCACCACUCUGAGCAUCUUCUCCUUUUUUUUUUUUUUUUUUGAGACGGAGUCUCUCUCUGUUGCCCGGGCUGGAGUGCAGUGGCCGGAUCUCAGCUCACUGCAAGCUCCGCCUCCCGGGUUCACGCCAUUCUCCUGCCUCAGCCUCCCGAGUAGCUGGGACUACAGGCGCCCGCCCGGCUAGUUUUUGUAUUUUUUAGUAGAGACGGGGUUUCACCGUGUUAGCCAGGAUGGUCUCGAUCUCCUGACCUCGUGAUCCGCCCAUCUCGGCCUCCCAAAGUGCUGGGAUUACAGGCUUGAGCCACCGCGCCCGGCCUUUUUUUUUUUUGAGACGGAGUCUCGCUCUGUCGCCCAGGCUGGACUGCAGUGGCGGGAUCUCGGCUCACUGCAAGCUCCGCCUACCGGGUUUACGCCAUUCUCCAGCCUCAGCCUCCCGAGUAGCUGGGACUACAGGCUUCAUCACGCCCGGCUAGUUUUUUUUUUUUUUUUUUUUUUUUUUAGUAGAGACGGGGUUUCACCGCUUUAGCCAGGAUGGUCUUGAUCUCCUGACUUCGUGAUCCGCCCGUCUCGGCCUCCCAAAGUGCUGGGAUUACAGGCUUGAGCCACCGCGCUCGGCCAUCUUCUUCUUUUUUCCAUCAGUAAAAUCCACAGAUCAAAUGAGAUUCCCAGGUGCUUCCAACCAGUCUCCAAGCCUCAGCUCAUUUUGGUUUCUGUGGCGUCAAAGACCUCAGCAGGUCCGCAAGCGGCAGGAGGCCUGACGGAGCAGAUUCACCUGUGGGUUUGGGCCCAGAUGAUCUCUCUGAAAUUUCAUCCCCCACUGUGAACACAGUGCUGGUCAGUGCCUCUCUUCGUUUCUGGCCCCCAACCCCUGCUCAGGAGCCCCAGCGUGUUCUCCAUUUUCAGCUGUGUGCUUAGAAACACCUUGACUCUUCUCACGCCUGCCGGGUAAGUGGGUUCUCUCCUGCUCCAUCUUGCCGUUAGCCCGUUUGGUCUUCUGUUGCGCUCCCUAGCCUUUGCGGACCCGGGGCGGGGGGUGGGGGCGGCUAGUGCUCUGGAGAUAAGGGAUGGUCUCUAAAUUCUCAGCGGGUAUUAUUAGUAUUCGCAUUCUAAAAUAGAAGUUUCUAAAGGCAGGAUCGAUACUAUUACCUUUUAUUUUAUUAAUAGCUUCCACACUUAGUUCAGCCCCCUGAACACAUCAGGUGUCCAGUAAAUACUUUACAAAUGUUCCUGCCUUCAAUGAGGAUUUACACGUCUGAAUUCGUGUAAAGAAUUUAGAGUACUGGUACUUAACAACUUCCAACUUCAUUUAAUUUUUCCAUUUUCUUCUACGCAGGUUUAUUUCUUUACCUUUUCCUCUGUUCAAGGCUUUAUUUCAUUUCUUUCUUUUCCAAGAAUGAGAUAAUAUAUUGAACUCAUAGCUAGAGGUAUAUAAGUAACUUCCUGUUUAAAUUU